AAGUCAUAACAAGGUUUCCGUAGGUGAACCUGCGGAAGGAUCAUUCGAGAUAGGGCCUUUGGCCCCAAUCCCAACACACACACCGUGAACCGUGCCCGGGGACCUCGCAAGGGGUACCCUUGUAUCACACCUUUUACAAAGUUUGCUCAGAAAGGCAGGAUAUAGAAAUAGAAAAAUAA
rnacentral:misc_RNA from 1 species